CGCAACCAAGACAGACAGAUGAACAACAAAAACACUGGUUAAGUGAUUCAGAAGGGUAGGUUUUCUGGAAUUAGCCAGAAACAUUUCAAGGACUCUGAAGAAAAUAUGGAAAUGAAUUGUCAUUACAAUUUAUCUGAGCAUAUGUGCCUUUCGACUCCAAUGCCUGAAGAAGGAUUCAUUUUUAAAUGAUUUGUUGGAAAUUUGGAACGUACCCAGAGAAGGGCAACGAAACUGAACUGCAAAUGAAACGCCCCACAACAGAAGCCGUUCGGUUUCUGGUACUGAUUACCAGGUUGGAGUCUCAUCUGAGAAGGUGGAGCGAUCGCAAGUCUGCACGUCACUGCGGUGAUCCAGUGGGAGGAGGCAGCCCACCCGGGCCCAUCAGCCGUCGAUCUGGAUUUCCUCCUGUGCGCAGGCGAUUGGCCACCCUGUGCAUGGUUCACUUGGGUGUGACUGCGAGCCCUGCAGAGAAACAGAGCAGAAACUGCACAGCUGAUGGAGUGUGAGGAGAAGAAAUCUGAACAUCAUUGUCUAAGUACUUAGUGGCUUUGAAAUAAAACUAGAGAUUAUCGCAAGUGCUGCAGUUGUUCAAAUUCAGCUCCUGCCAAGUUUUCACACCACCGAUGCUUCUAAGAACAGAGAAACCUACCUUAGAAGCUUCUUCCCAAUUUGUAUCUUGCUAUUUUCAGUAUUAAAUUUAGAACAGUG
ensembl:lncRNA